UACGUAGGGUGCAGGCGUUAAUCGGAAUUACUGGGCGUAAAGCGUGCGCAGGCGGCUCCUUAAGUCAGAUGUGAAAUCCCCGGGCUUAACCUGGGAACUGCGUUUGAAACUGGGGAGCUGGAGUGUAGAAGAGGGGGGUGGAAUUCCAGGUGUAGCAGUGAAAUGCGUAGAGAUCUGGAGGAACACCGAUGGCGAAGGCAGCCCCCUGGGCUAACACUGACGCUCAUGCACGAAAGCGUGGGGAGCAAACAGG
rnacentral:rRNA from 1 species